rnacentral:rRNA from 1 species
GACGAACGCUGGCGGCGUGCUUAACACAUGCAAGUCGAACGCGCCUGUCCUCUGGGUUUCUGGGGGGUGGGUGAGUGGCGCACGGGUGAGUAACACGUGAGUAGCCUGCCCCCUUCUUCGGGAUAACGGUCUGAAAGGGCUGCUAAUACCGGGUAUUCACUGGUCUCCGCAUGGGGUCUGGUGGAAAGGUUUUUUUCUGGUGGGGGAUGGGCUCGCGGCCUAUCAGCUUGUUGGUGGGGUGAUGGCCCACCAAGGCUUUGACGGGUAGCCGGCCUGAGAGGGUGGCCGGUCACAUGGGGACUGAGAUACGGCCCAGACUCCUACGGGAGGCAGCAGUGGGGAAUAUUGCACAAUGGGCGCAAGCCUGAUGCAGCGACGCCGCGUGAGGGAUGGAGGCCUUCGGGUUGUGAACCUCUUUCGCCCGUGGUCAAGCCGCGACGUGGGUCGUGGUGAGGGUAGUGGGUAAAGAAGCGCCGGCUAACUACGUG